rnacentral:rRNA from 1 species
CCUACGGGAGUCAGCAGUGAGGAAUAUUGGUCACUGGCCGGGAGGCUGAACCAGCCAAGUCGCGUGAGGGAAGACGGCCCUACGGGUUGUAAACCUCUUUUGUCAGGGAGCAAGGUUCAGGUCGGAACCUGCUGUGCGAGUACCUGAAGAAAAAGCAUCGACUAACUCCGUGCCAGCAGCCGCGGUAAUACGGAUGAUGCGAUGUUUAUCCGGAUUUAUUGGGUUAAAAGGGGGCGCAGGCGGAGGACCAAGUCAGCGGUAAAAUCGCGGGGCUCAACCCCGCUCCGCCGUUGAAACUGUGUCCCUUGAGUGCGCGAAGGGUAGGCGGAAUGCGUGGUGUAGCGGUGAAAUGCAUAGAUAUCACGCAGAACUCCGAUCGCGAAGGCAGCCUACCGGCGCGCAACUGACGCUCAUGCACGAAAGCGUGGGUAUCGAACAGGAUUAGAUACCCGUGUAGUC